AACGGAGGAUCCGAGCGUUAUCCGGAUUUAUUGCUUUUAAAGGGUGCGCAGGCGUACUGGUAAGUCAGGGGUGAAAAUCUACGGCUCAUCUGUAGACGUGCCUUUGAUACUGCCGGACUAUAGUUAAGAUGGAGUGGGCGGAAUGUGUUGUGUAGCGGUGAAAUGCUUAGAUAUAACACAGAACAUCGAUCGCGAAGGCAGCUCACUAAACUUUGACUGACGCUCAUGCACGAAAGCGUGGGGAUCAAACAGGAUUAGAUACCCUGGUAGUCCACGCUGUAAACGAUGAUCACUCGCUGUUGGCGAUAUACCGUCAGUGGCUAAGCGAAAGUGAUAAGUGAUCCACCUGGGGAGUACGACCGCAAGGUUGAAACUCAAAGGAAUUGACGGGGGCCCGCACAAGCGGAGGAGCAUGUGGUUUAAUUCGAUGAUACGCGAGGAACCUUACCAGGGCUCGAACGUACAGCGACUUGUCGAGAAAUCGGCAAUCCCUUCGGGGCGAUGUACGAGGUGCUGCAUGGUUGUCGUCAGCUCGUGCCGUGAGGUGUCAGGUUAAGUCCUAUAACGAGCGCAACCCCUAUCGAUAGUUGCCAGCGGUUAAAGCCGGGCACUCUAUAGAAACUGCCUACGCAAGUAGAGAGGAAGGUGGGGAUGACGUCAAAUCAGCACGGCCCUUAUGUCCUGGGCUACACACGUGCUACAAUGGUCGGUACAGAGGGUCGCUACCGGGUGACCGGAUGCUAAUCUCAAAAGCCGAUCUCAGUUCGGAUCGGAGUCUGCAACCCGACUCCGUGAAGUUGGAUUCGCUAGUAAUCGCGCAUCAGCCAUGGCGCGGUGAAUACGUUGGCCGGGAC
rnacentral:rRNA from 1 species